rnacentral:rRNA from 1 species
CCUACGGGGGGCAGCAGUGGGGAAUAUUGCGCAAUGGGCGAAAGCCUGACGCAGCGACGCCGCGUGAGGGAUGAAGGUCUUCGGAUCGUAAACCUCUGUCAGCAGGGAAGAACGGUCACUGUGCUAAUCAGCAGUGAAUUGACGGUACCUGCAAAGGAAGCACCGGCUAACUCCGUGCCAGCAGCCGCGGUAAUACGGAGGGUGCGAGCGUUAAUCGGAAUUACUGGGCGUAAAGCGCGCGUAGGCGGCCUGUUAGGUCGGGGGUCAAAUACCGGGGCUCAACCCCGGUCCGCCCCCGAUACCGG